UUCUACGGCCACGCCACCCUGAACGCGCCCGAUCCCGUCUGAUCUCGGAAGCUAAGCAGGGCCGGGCCCGGUUAGUACUUGGAUGGGAGACCGCCUGGGAAUACCGGGUGCUGUAGGCG
rnacentral:rRNA from 1 species